UCUUCAUUGGUUCGUAUCCAGCCAUGGCGGACCGAGGCCUCAGUCGGGCAGGAACCCCCAAGCCCAGCCAGGACACGCCACGGCGUGCAUCCAAGCCCAGCCAGGACACGCCACGGCGUGCACCCCAGCCCAGCCAGGACACGCCACGGCGUGCUUCCCAGGCCAGCCAGGACACGCCAAGGCGUGCUUCCUCCUCCUCAUCUGUCUCACGGGACAGUUCACGGCCCAGGCGUGAUGAUGAUGACCGGUUAAGGAAGGACAAUAAGAGGACUGCUGUUGGUUUUGAUGGGUCGUCCGUCAAGCGUCUUUGUGCUUCCAAACCACAACAACCGUCCGGCAGUCAACAACCGUCUGGCAGUCAACAACCGUCCGGCAAUCAACAACCGCCUGGCAGUCUACAAUCAUUCGUCAGUCACCCUGUUCGGACGAGGAUCCUUCUGCUUCAGACAAGAAAUUUGAUAUUCUCACCAAUCUGUUGAGUGGUUUAGUUGAAAAACUAGACAACCGCAUUACACGCAGUGCUUCGCCUUCACCGGUAGAUUAUGGUGGCUGUCAUGAAUUGUCCCCUUCUGAUAAUGAGGACGGUGAAGAGUCUGAGAGAGAUGAUCCAGACCCCCUAGAUGGAUUAGACACUAUCUCCCCCUCUUUUUCCGGUAGCCAACCCGCUACCUCUGGUGAUGACGCAGACUUCCUCCAAGCGUUGAGUGAAUUGUCUGACAAUUUUUUUGGGCGAGGAAGCAAAAGGUGAACCAAUUUCUGAUUCACUUGCAUCAAUAGUCAAUGCCAGCCUGAGGCGUCGUCCUGUGGCCGACAUUGUAAAAUCAACCACUAAUAGGAUUAAAAUACCCAGCAAUGUGCCCAAUAUGAAAGUUCCAGAGACUAACCCUCCCAUUGUCAAAGCAAUGAAUACGGGAGGUAAACUUAUGGAUGCUCGACUAACCCAUAUUAAUGGACUGUUACUGAAAGCGCUUGUUCCCAUUACUCAGUGCGUUAGUGACGUGGGGGAAAGGAAAGGGAAGGCAGUGAAUUUUUACCUGGAAGGUUUAAAUGAUUGCCUUAGGCUACUAAUCUCCGCCUUCAAUUACACCAACCAGUUACGAAAGGAGGUGGCACGUGUUCACGUCAAUGACACUGCUCUUGCAGAACUCUGUAAAUGGGAGUGUGAAGUCGGUACUGACAAACUCUUCCCUUUCGACAUUGUGAAGAAAUGUGAUGAAAUGCAUAGAACCAAGAAGCUGGGAAGGCCGUCCUUCCGCCCCUACAAGACCUCCAGAGGGAAGAGCUUAUCCUUCGGUAGACAGGACCACAGGAGACCUUACAGCUCACGAGCCCGGUCAAAGCUUCCUUCAAGGCCUUUUUUAGGCCUGCGGCAGUCUUACGGGAGGAGGACGCAGCCAUACAAACUUCCCCAGUAACGCCUCCCACAGUGCCUCCCACAAUCUGCCUCCUCCAGCAAGGCAUCCCUGACUCUACCUGUCCUCCACAAUCAUGGCCACUGUGGGGUGGUCGUGUGAGUCUGUUUUUGCUAAAUUCUACAGGAGGCCGUUGUCCAAGCGGACAGAUUUUGCUAGUGCAGUGUUGGGCUGAGGAGGUUUCCUUCUCUUGAUUACUUGGGUAUUUAUUAAGGUAUACACAUACAUAUAGAUUGUUGAUUUGCACAUGGAUUGCAGCCUGUUCUAUUAUUUGUGUUGAGUUUCACUUCUGUACUACCUUAUAUCGUUACUUGGGAAAUAAAUGGUUAUUCUUUG